UACGGAGGGUGCAAGCGUUAAUCGGAAUUACUGGGCGUAAAGGGUGCGUAGGCUGGAGGAUAAGUCAGACGUGAAAUUCCAAAGCUCAACUUUGGAGCUGCAUCUGAAACUAUCCUUCUUGAGGAAUGGCGGAGAAAACGGAAUUCCACGUGUAGCGGUGAAAUGCGUAGAUAUGUGGAAGAACACCUGUGGCGAAAGCGGUUUUCUAGCUUACUCCUGACGCUGAGGCACGAAAGCAAGGGGAGCAAACAGG
rnacentral:rRNA from 1 species